rnacentral:rRNA from 1 species
UACACACCGCCCGUCACGUCAUGGAAGCCGAGAACGAUUGAAGUCGCUGAGCUAACCCGCAAGGGAGGCAGGCGCCGAGGUCGGGUUCGGUAACUGGGGCG